AUGAACAGUGAAGAAAUCAGACGCGAUCUCCCAUUCUCUCUCUAGUGUCUCCCUCUCUCGUUUCCUCUUGAACCUUCAUCAUCGUGAGUACUUGAAGCUUUACCAAACUCUGCCGAGAAAUAUCCGAUUAGCUCCACCGUAACAAGAGAGUAGGAUCAUCUGCAAGGUUAAGAAGAUGGUUGGUUGAACGUUUCGCUAACCCUUUGAUUCCUUGUUGCAUGUCUUCUCUGGUGAGCGUUUCACCUCCUCUGACAUGUCUGUAGCUCCGUCGUGAGCUUCAGCAUCACGCUCCACCACUUCCGUGAAACCAAGUGAAAACAUCUGAGAAAACCUUCUUCCAUAUGUUUAAUUUGUGUUGAUCUGACUCCUCUUGAUGUUUUAGGAGUUAUCCUGGUUUCAAAACCAAAACCUUUCCUUGAUACUUCACUAUUCUUCAGCUUGAGGUAGGUUCACUUUCUCUGCAAUGCUUGAUGAUGUAACCGAUUCCCCAGGCCUCUGAUCGACUCAACAAACUCCUUAAGUCUUCAUGUCUAUCAAACUCGUGACUGUUUGAUAACCUCCACAUGAACUGAGUACUCUUCUCGAUUCUGCUUAUGCUCCAGGUAAAUCUUCCUUCCUUUGUCACUAUACUUCCAGUUGUCUAAUGACUCCAAUUAGAAAUCACUAACUUGGGCCUGUUACUUUUGAAUUGCGAGGACUGAGUGAAGAAAACUGAGUCAUCUGGAGCUUUCUCAUGUUUAAUUAGCGGACGUUCAAAAGCUCACAGAAAAGCUGGAACCUCUUACCAGGUGAUAUGCAGGUUGAGCGACCAAAGCCGGAUAGCAUAUUGGUUUUAUUCUUUUCAACAGAGAAAUUUGUUAAGUCUUUUCAGACAGAAUGCAUAACCACUAAUGUCGCAAGGUGACAAAUUGAAAAUCAUUCGUCUCAAUUUUAAA